ensembl:miRNA
CUGGGUCUCCUCUCUGCUGAGAGUUGGACACUUGUUGGGACAACCUGUCUGUGGAAAGAAGCCACCCAC